UACUGCGAUUAUUUUCCAUAUGGCUCUCCAUUUAUCUCAAUGCCACUCUUUAAAAGACCAUCACUUCCCACUGAUUUGAGAAGCCACCUUUAUUGUACUCUAUAUUUACACAUGCAGUUAGCAUAUUUCUGGAUUUUCUAUUCUGUUCCAUUGGUUUAUCUGACUUCUCAUGUAUCAGUACCAACAUGUUUUAAUUAUAGAGGCUUUAUAGUACAUUUUAAUGUUUGGAAAGGCUAGGCUCUCUUUUUCUUCUUUCUCAUGGUUUUCCUUGCUAUUCUCACUUGUUCUUCUAAAUAAACCUGUAUAGCACCUGAUAGAAACUGGAUAGUAUUUUUAAUUGCAAUUAUGCUAUAAUGACAGGUUAAUAAAGGAAAACUGACUUCUUUCUAAUGUAGUCUUCCUAUCCAAGAAUAUGGUUUGUCUUUUUUCAUUUGUUCAAUCUACUGUUUUACUUUUCUGGGAACAUUUAGUUUUCCUUAAAUAGGUUUUGAACACUUUUUAAAGUUUAUAUAUGUACUACCCUAAAUAGAGUCUUCUCUUCCAAUAUAUAUUUCACUGUUUUUUUUGGUUAUAUAUAUGUAGGCUAUUGAUUUUUGUAUAUUAAAUUUUUAACCUGUUAUUUUCCUAUCACUUAUAGAAGUUUUUCCUUUCAGUCUUUUGAGUUUUUCAGAUAUAUAAUUAUAUUACAUGCAAACAGAGAUAGUUUUACCUUUUUCUUUAUGACACAAACUGGUUUAUCUUGUCUAAUUGCAUUGGCUAUUACAGCAUGACAGUAAAUAGUACUGAAUAUAGUGAUGUCCCUGUCUGAUUCCUGACUAAUAGAAAAAAAAUCCUCUAGUUAUUCUCCAUUAAAUAUUAUCCUAGUGUUUGGCUGUAUUCCAGAACAUUAUUUACUUUUAAAAAUAAAUGCAACCAGAUUAUGGCUAUUUGCAUAAAUGGCUGCACUAUCACUCACUUUGGUACAAAUAUGCCUUUUUUGAGGGAGAGACAAAUGGUGGUGCUACCACCUCUAUGCCGGGAUAACUUGCCAUUCAGAGUCAGCUGGACAUGGGACAAGCUUUGCCCUAUAGUACUUUGUGGUAGAAAAAGGGUUAAAAAGUGUGCCAGUAAAGUUUUGGGUAUUGUUCUUAUCUCCACUGUAUUUGCAGAACCAUACUAGAUUCUUUGAAUGCCAAUUCUUUCAUUCAGAAAGUUCAAGUUAACUUAGUCAAGAUGCUAAAAUAUUUGUGUUCAGUUAUAUUAAUGGGAGGAAAAAGCCUUUCCGGCCAGCAAGCCUGCCCUGACCUUCAUGAAGUUUCAAAGUUGAUGUGCUCUUGAAAAGCUUGCCUCUUUUUGCUUGCUUUGUCUUACGCCUAAUCUACAGUCAGAACAAGUGUUUCUCAGUAAAAGACUUCCUUCUCCUCAUUUACUUUUUAUUUCCCACAGUCGGGGCCAUUUGUGAGCUCCCGAACUAACAAACAAAGCAAAGUAACUCUCAAAGAUGUUGUGUUCAAAAUGGUAAUUGAAAUGCCUAAAGAAGUACAAUGAAAUCAAAGCAGGAGGAAACCCGAAUAUAGGAAAUCUCUUCAGAGCUGGUUUCAAUGCUGCCCACCACAAACACUUCGGGUUUUGCAGGCUCUUCUAAGCUAAGUCUGGGUAGAUGCCAAGCUCUGCUUCACAAAGGCUCAUGGUAUAAAGUGUCCAUGGGGCGAGCAGUAGGGUGAAGGCACUGUCUUUUAUUAGAACCAAUUAAGUCCUGAAUUACUGAAAUUCUCUUCUGCCUCUGCUGGCAUUUCAAAACCGUAUUUAAAACAUUCUAUAGUUGUGAUUUCAAGGGUGAAGCCCCUUGUAUUCUCCUCAAGCUUGUAAGUUUUCUUUUUGAAUGUAUAAGUAGAAAAAUCACAUCAGCUUGUACUUGUUUUACAGUUUAUAAAUCUGUAUCACAUUCAUUUCCUAGACUUUAUUAUUUCUGGUUUACCAGUGGGGAAAAUGAGAAUUAGAGAAGUUAAAAGAUAUGCCUAAAGUCCUAUGUCAAGGCCAGACUCAACCCCAGGUAUUACAGAGCUAAUUCUGUAUUCACCCCAUCCUAUCAUUUCCGUGUGCAUUAAGUUACACACACAUUAAAAGUAAAUGCAUGUUAACAUUUAUACAUACAAUGUGUACAGAUAUUAUGUACUUUGCUAUAGAGAAAUCCUAAUUUACAAAAUAGAUAACUGAUUCCAUUCUCUUUUCAUGAACAUUCAUUAUGAGGUUAUUUUAAAUAUAAAGAUCCCUGGUCCCUUUAAAAUUAGAAUCUAUUUUCAAAAAUUGAUCUCCUCAUAAGUUGUUAAGCCCAGA
rnacentral:lncRNA from 10 species